CAUUUAUUAAAUAGGGAAUCCUUUCCCCAUUGCUUGUUUUUGUCAGGUUUGUCAAAGAUCAGAUGGUUGUAGAUAUGUGGGAUUAUUUCUGAGGGCUCUGUUCUGUUCCAUUGGUCUAUAUCUCUGUUUUGGUACCAGUACCAUGCUGUUUUGGUUACUGUAGCCUUGUAGGAUAGUUUGAAGUCAGGUAGCGUGAUGCCUCUGGCUUUGUUCUUUUGGCUUAGGAUUGACUUGGCAAUGCGGGCUCUUUUUUGGUUCCAUAUGAACUUUAAAGUAGUUUUUUCCAAUUCUGUGAAGAAAGUCAUUGGUAGCUUGAUGGGGAUGGCAUUGAAUCUAUAAAUUACCUUGGGCAACAUGGCCAUUUUCAUGAUAUUGAUUCUUCCUACCCAGGAGCAUGGAAUGUUCUUCCAUUUCUUUGUGUCCUCUUUUAUUUCACUGAGCAGUGGUUGUAGUUCUCCUUGAAGAGGUCCUUCACAUCCCUUGUAAGUUGGAUUCCUAGGUAUUUUAUUCUCUUUGAAGCAAUUGUGAAUGGGAGUUCACUCAUGAUUUGGCUCUCUGUUUGUCUGUUAUUGGUGUAUAUAAGAAUGCUUGUGAUGUUUGCACAUUGAUUUUGUAUCUUGAGACUUUGCUGAAGUUGCUUAUCAGCUUAAGGAGAUUUUGGGCUGAGACAGUGGGGUUUUCUA
rnacentral:lncRNA from 1 species